GACAGAGGAUGCAAGCGUUAUCCGGAAUGAUUGGGCGUAAAGCGUCUGUAGGUGGCUUUUCAAGUCCGCCGUCAAAUCCCAGGGCUCAACCCUAGACAGGUGGUGGAAACUACCAAGCUAGAGUAUGGUAGGGGCAGAGGGAAUUUCCGGUGGAGCGGUGAAAUGCAUUGAGAUCGGAAAGAACACCAACGGCGAAAGCACUCUGCUGGGCCGACACUGACACUAAGAGACGAAAGCUAGGGGAGCAAAUGGG
rnacentral:rRNA from 1 species